UACGUAGGGGGCAAGCGUUGUCCGGAAUCAUUGGGCGUAAAGCGCGUGUAGGCGGUUCGGUAAGUCUGCUGUGAAAGUCCAGGGCUCAACCCUGGGAUGCCGGUGGAUACUGUCGGACUAGAGUACGGAAGAGGCGAGUGGAAUUCCCGGUGUAGCGGUGAAAUGCGCAGAUAUCGGGAGGAACACCAAUUGCGAAGGCAGCUCGCUGGGACGUUACUGACGCUGAGACGCGAAAGCGUGGGGAGCAACAGG
rnacentral:rRNA from 1 species